rnacentral:rRNA from 1 species
GAUGAACGCUGGCGGCGUGCCUAAUACAUGCAAGUCGAGCGAACAGACGAGGAGCUUGCUCCUCUGACGUUAGCGGCGGACGGGUGAGUAACACGUGGAUAACCUACCUAUAAGACUGGGAUAACUUCGGGAAACCGGAGCUAAUACCGGAUAACAUGUUGAACCGCAUGGUUCAACAGUGAAAGACGGUCUUGCUGUCACUUAUAGAUGGAUCCGCGCCGCAUUAGCUAGUUGGUAAGGUAACGGCUUACCAAGGCAACGAUGCGUAGCCGACCUGAGAGGGUGAUCGUCCACACUGGAACGGAGACACGGUCCAGACUCCUACGGGAGGCAGCAGUAGGGAAUCUUCCGCAAUGGGCGGAAGCCUAACGGAGCAACGCCGCGUGAGUGAAGAAGGUCUUCGGAUCGUAAAACUCUGUUAUUAGGGAAGAACAAAUGUGUAAGUAACUAUGCACGUCUUGACGGUACCUAAUCAGAAAGCCACGGCUAACUACGUG